rnacentral:rRNA from 1 species
GAUGAACGCUGGCGGCGUGCUUAACACAUGCAAGUCGAACGGAAACGCCCUGCUUUCUUGGGGUUCCCGAGUGGCGAACGCGUGCGUAACACGUGUGUAUCCUGCUCUUCAUUUUCGUAUAACUUCACGAAACUGGGGUUACUACCGUAUAGCAUCUCCUGCUCCAUUGUGAGGAUUGGAACUUUUCGGCGGUUGGGGAUGGAUUCGCGGCUUACGAGCUUGUUAGUUGGGUAGUGGCUUACCCAGGCAUUGACGGGUAGGCGGCAUGAGAGGGUGAACGGGCACAAGGGGACUGAGGGACGGAGCAGACGGCAACGGGGGGCAGCAGGGGGGAAUAUGAUACAGUGAGCGGGAGCCUGAUGAAGAAGCGCCGGGUGCGGGAUGACGGCCUGUGGGGUGUAAACAGCUGUAGGCUGUGACGAAGCGGGAGUGACGGUAAUGGAUGAAGAAGCACCGGCUAACUACGUG